GACGAACGCUGGCGGCGUGCUUAACACAUGCAAGUCGAACGAAGUGGCGAACGGGUGAGUAACGCGUAAUCAACCUGCACUGCAGAGGGGGACAACAGUUGGAAACGACUGCUAAUACCGAAUAAUGAUGGAGGGGAUUGCGUCUGAUUAGCUCGUUGAAGGGGUAACGGCCCACCAAGGCGAUGAUCAGUAGCCGGUCUGAGAGGAUGAACGGCCACAUUGGGACUGAGAAACGGCCCAGACUCCUACGGGAGGCAGCAAUGGGGAAUCUUCCGCAAUGGACGAAAGUCUGACGGAGCAACGCCGCGUGAUUGAUGACGGCCUUCGGGUUGUAAAGCUCUGUUAAUCGGGACGCGGUACCGGAAUAGAAAGCCACGGCUAACUACGUGCCAGCAGCCGCGGUAAUUC
rnacentral:rRNA from 1 species